GUCAUUUCCACAAGCCUGAGUUCCCAAAUUAAGGUGCCACCAAACUCCUGUGUUAGAGCAAGAGAUUUCUGUUUUUCUCAUGCUGAGGAAAUGAGAAAUCUAUUGUACAUUAAAAAACAAUUUACCAGGACACUUUGACACAGCUUUUAGCUUCCGUGUUGCAUAAAGAGUGAGAUAGAAGGUAGCUGGGUGCUUGACUCGUCAAUGUUUCCUAGGCCAAGUUUAUAGCAAUGAAAGGACUCUUUCAGGUCUGAUCUGGGGUGAGCCAAAUGCUAUUUGAGAUCCAUUACAUUGUUUAGAUUGGACUUUGCAGACACUUGAAUCUAACAACUUUAGCCAAGAAAUGUGUUCUCAUUCUUCGCACAGUCUUGUUCAGUUGACUGAGUCAGACCUCCAUGUCAUUCUGAGGUGAAGACUGUGAGAUUGUUAUAAUGRGAGGAAGUGCAUCCUGUASAAACUUCUCUAAGAGGACAUUGAACCUUCAGAGGGCCUUGAAUCUUCACUACUGGCAACAUUUUUAGGCCACACACAGCGAUACUUCAUCCAAAAUGAGUUUAAAAAACAGCAAAGAUUGCACUGUGUGCUAUGUAUUUGUGUAGCCUACUUUAUUAAAUCCCCUGUAAUUUACUCUAUCGGCCUCAAUAGAAGCUGCUGUAAGGUAGCAGUAAGGAUUGUGUGGGGUGUAAACUGUAUGAGAUGGGAGGAUACUUUGCAGGUGAGCCCCACCCUCUCCUGUUGCACAGACUGCUAGCAGAGAGAGCAGCAAACACACCUGGACAACCCAAACCUGUGGGAUAUUCACAUUUUAACACAUAUCCAAAAGAGAGAAAGGUUCUCCUGAAGUCCCUUCUCCCCUGCGUCUCAGGAGGGCCUGUCCCAUGAUGAACCUGACCGGUGCUGUUCUACUUCUCUCGUUGGUGUCGCUAGUCCACGGUGCCUGCUCUCUCAAUGGGAGGAACAGAGGAGACCUCUAUGACUGCCCAGCGGAUGUGUACAUUGUUCUGGACACCUCAGAGAGUGUGGCGCUGAGAGCCAAGCCCUACGGCUCCUUCGUUGAUCAGAUCAAGCAGUUUGCCCUGGACUUUGUGGACCAGCUCAACACUAGGUGUGUAUCACCUCCAUACUGACAGUUUCAGCU